CAGCCGCCGCGGGAAUACGAAGGGUGCAAGCGUUACUCGGAAUUACUGGGCGUAAAGCGUGCGUAGGUGGUGGUUUAAGUCCGUUGUGAAAGCCCUGGGCUCAACCUGGGAAUUGCAGUGGAUACUGGGUCACUAGAGUGUGGUAGAGGAUAGUGGAAUUUCCGGUGUAGCAGUGAAAUGCGUAGAGAUCGGAAGGAACAUCUGUGGCGAAGGCGACUAUCUGGGCCAACACUGACACUGAGGCACGAAAGCGUGGGGAGCAAACAGGAUUAGAUACCCGCGUAGUCCCUGUCUCUUAUAA
rnacentral:rRNA from 1 species